rnacentral:rRNA from 1 species
GACGAACGCUGGCGGCGUGCUUAACACAUGCAAGUCGAACGGAAAGGCCCUGCUUGCAGGGUACUCGAGUGGCGAACGGGUGAGUAACACGUGGGUGAUCUGCCCUGCACUUCGGGAUAAGCCUGGGAAACUGGGUCUAAUACCGGAUAGGAGCCAUUUUUAGUGUGAUGGUUGGAAAGUUUUUUCGGUGUAGGAUGAGCUCGCGGCCUAUCAGCUUGUUGGUGGGGUAAUGGCCUACCAAGGCGGCGACGGGUAGCCGGCCUGAGAGGGUGGACGGCCACAUUGGGACUGAGAGACGGCCCCGACUCCUACGGGUGGCAGCAGUGGGGAAUCUUGCACAAGGGGCGCCGGCCUGAUGCAGCGACGCCGCGUGGGGGAUGACGGCCUUCGGGUUGUAAACUCCUUUCGCUAGGGACGAAGCUUUUUGUGACGGUACCUAGAUAAGAAGCACCGGCUAACUACGUG